GGGGAUAACACUUGGAAACAGGUGCUAAUACCGUAUAACACUAUUUUCCGCAUGGAAGAAAGUUGAAAGGCGCUUUUGCGUCACUGAUGGAUGGACCCGCGGUGCAUUAGCUAGUUGGUGAGGUAACGGCUCACCAAGGCCACGAUGCAUAGCCGACCUGAGAGGGUGAUCGGCCACACUGGGACUGAGACACGGCCCAGACUCCUACGGGAGGCAGCAGUAGGGAAUCUUCGGCAAUGGACGAAAGUCUGACCGAGCAACGCCGCGUGAGUGAAGAAGGUUUUCGGAUCGUAAAACUCUGUUGUUAGAGAAGAACAAGGAUGAGAGUAGAAUGUUCAUCCCUUGACGGUAUCUAACCAGAAAGCCACGGCUAACUACGUGCCAGCAGCCGCGGUAAUACGUAGGUGGCAAGCGUUGUCCGGAUUUAUUGGGCGUAAAGCGAGCGCAGGCGGUUUCUUAAGUCUGAUGUGAAAGCCCCCGGCUCAACCGGGGAGGGUCAUUGGAAACUGGGAGACUUGAGUGCAGAAGAGGAGAGUGGAAUUCCAUGUGUAGCGGUGAAAUGCGUAGAUAUAUGGAGGAACACCAGUGGCGAAGGCGGCUCUCUGGUCUGUAACUGACGCUGAGGCUCGAAAGCGUGGGGAGCGAACAGGAUUAGAUACCCU
rnacentral:rRNA from 1 species